rnacentral:rRNA from 1 species
UUCCGGGUGAUCCCUGCCGGAACUUCACUGCUAUCGGGGUGGGACUAAAACAUGCAAGUCGAGCGCUCAAGCUAUGAGUGAAGGCGCGGCAAACGGCUCAGUAACACGUGGCCCAACCUACCCUUGGGACGGAGACAACCCCGGGAAACUGGGGCUAAUCUCCGAUAGGCGAGGAAUCCUGGAAUGGACCCUCGCCCAAAAGACGUUGAGUCCAUGCUAUUCAGCGCCGCCCAAGGAUGGAGCCGCGACCGAUCAGGUAGUUGGCGAGGCAACGGCUCACCAAGCCUAUAACCGGUACGGGCCGUGAGAGCGGGAGCCCGGAGAUGGGCGCUGAGACAAGGGCCCAGGCCCUACGGGGCGCAGCAGUUGCGAAAACUCCGCAAUGCGCGAAAGCGUGACGGGGCUACCCCGAGUGCCGCCCGUUGAGGGCGGCUUUUCCACGGUGUAAGGAGCCGUGGGAAUAAGGAGGGGGCAAGACUGGUGUCAGCCGCCGCGGUAAUACCAGCUCUCCGAGUGGUGGGGACGAUUAUUGGGCUUAAAGCGUUCGUAGCCGGCUUAACAAGUCUUCCGUUAAAUCCAACGAUCUAAUCGUUGGGCUGCGGGGGAUACUGUCCGGCUAGGGGGCGGAAGAGGUCGACGGUAUUCUCGGGGUAGGGGUGAAAUCCUAUAAUCCCGGGAGGACCACCAGUGGCGAAGGCUGUCGGCUAGAACGCGCCCGACGGUGAGGGAUGAAAGCUGGGGGAGCGAACCGGAUUAGAUACCCGGGUAGUCCUAGCCGUAAACGAUGCAGGCUAGGUGUUGGCGCGGCUACGUGCCGCUCCAGUGCCGCAGGGAAGCCGUUAAGCCUGCUGCCUGGGAAGUACGGCCGCAAGGCUGAAACUUAAAGGAAUUGGCGGGGGAGCACCACAAGGGGUGAAGCUUGCGGUUUAAUUGGAAUCAACGCCGGU